rnacentral:rRNA from 1 species
GAUGAACGCUGGCGGCGUGCCUAAUACAUGCAAGUCGAGCGAACAGACGAGGAGCUUGCUCCUCUGACGUUAGCGGCGGACGGGUGAGUAACACGUGGAUAACCUACCUAUAAGACUGGGAUAACUUCGGGAAAUCGGAGCUAAUACCGGAUAAUAUAUUGAACCGCAUGGUUCAAUAGUGAAAGACGGUUUUGCUGUCACUUAUAGAUGGAUCCGCGCCGCAUUAGCUAGUUGGUAAGGUAACGGCUUACCAAGGCAACGAUGCGUAGCCGACCUGAGAGGGUGAUCGGCCACACUGGAACUGAGACACGGUCCAGACUCCUACGGGAGGCAGCAGUAGGGAAUCUUCCGCAAUGGGCGAAAGCCUGACGGAGCAACGCCGCGUGAGUGAUGAAGGUCUUCGGAUCGUAAAACUCUGUUAUUAGGGAAGAACAAAUGUGUAAGUAACUAUGCACGUCUUGACGGUACCUAAUCAGAAAGCCACGGCUAACUACGUG